AACGAACGCUGGCGGCAUGCCUAACACAUGCAAGUCGAACGAGACCUUCGGGACUAGUGGCUCACGCGGGCGGAACGCGGGGGAACCUGCCCGUAGGUACCGAAUAACUCCCCGAAAGGGGUGCUAACGCCGGGUAAUGUAUGCGGACCAAAGAUUGAUCGCCUUGGGGUGGGCCCGAGUUGGAUUAGCUUGGUGGUAGUGUAAAAGCCUACGACGGCGACGAUCCAUAGCUGGUCAGAGAGGAAGGGAAGCCACACUGGGACUGAGACACGGCCCAGACUCCUACGCGAGGCAGGAGUGGGGAAUACUGGACAAUGGGGGAAAGCCUGAUCCAGCACUGCCGCGUGAGUGAUGAAGUCCUGAGGGUUGUAAAGCUCUUUUACCCGGGAUGAUAAUGACAGUACCGGGAGAAUAAGCACCGGCUAACUCCGUG
rnacentral:rRNA from 1 species